AUGGAUUCACUUAAAGUGUUCUACUUGGAUCAUCUUCGAUCCUUAUGCGCCCGUGCUGAAACCCCACCUAGCCUAGUUGAUGGGAAAUCUUUAGAUGAGCAUGCUCAUUUUGUGCAUCACCGUUUGUCUGAAAAAGGGAGACUCUUAUGGGAUCAAAUAAACAGAUUGCUGUGUUAUGCUUGGAAUCUUUGUGAAAUUUAUGAUUUUACUUGUUGCUCUAAGAACCCUAAAAACACCUUCCCUACCUAUGUGAGUUUAAUGAAAAUGGAAUCUUAUCUUCUUAUGCUAAGGGUGUUUAUAGUUACUAUGAUAUCGGACAAAUUGAAGAAUUUGUUGCUUUUAAGGGUGCUUAUGAAGUUGCUUCUUUGA
rnacentral:rRNA from 1 species